UACAGAGGGUGCUAGCGUUGUUCGGAUUCAUUGGGCGUAAAGGGUGUGUAGGUGGCGCCGUAAGUCAGGUGUGAAAUUUCGGAGCUCAACUCCGAAACUGCAUUUGAUACUGCGGUGCUUGAGGACUGGAGAGGAGACUGGAAUUUACGGUGUAGCAGUGAAAUGCGUAGAUAUCGUAAGGAACACCAGUGGCGAAAGCGGCUCACUGGCUGAGUACUGACGCUAAGGCGCGAAAGCGUGGGGAGCAAACAGG
rnacentral:rRNA from 1 species